rnacentral:rRNA from 1 species
AGCGGCGGAUGGGUGAGUAACACGUGGGGAACCUGCCCCUAAGUCUGGGAUACCAUUUGGAAACAGGUGCUAAUACCGGAUAAUAAAGCAGAUCGCAUGAUCAGCUUUUGAAAGGCGGCGUAAGCUGUCGCUAAGGGAUGGCCCCGCGGUGCAUUAGCUAGUUGGUAAGGUAACGGCUUACCAAGGCGACGAUGCAUAGCCGAGUUGAGAGACUGAUCGGCCACAUUGGGACUGAGACACGGCCCAAACUCCUACGGGAGGCAGCAGUAGGGAAUCUUCCACAAUGGACGCAAGUCUGAUGGAGCAACGCCGCGUGAGUGAAGAAGGUUUUCGGAUCGUAAAGCUCUGUUGUUGGUGAAGAAGGAUAGAGGUAGUAACUGGCCUUUAUUUGACGGUAAUCAACCAGAAAGUCACGGCUAACUACGUGCCAGCAGCCGCGGUAAUACGUAGGUGGCAAGCGUUGUCCGGAUUUAUUGGGCGUAAAGCGAGCGCAGGCGGAAAAAUAAGUCUAAUGUGUAAGCCCUCGGCUUAACCGAGGAACUGCAUCGGAAACUGUUUUUCUUGAGUGCAGAAGAGGAGAGUGGAACUCCAUGUGUAGCGGUGGAAUGCGUAGAUAUAUGGAAGAACACCAGUGGCGAAGGCGGCUCUCUGGUCUGCAACUGACGCUGAGGCUCGAAAGCAUGGGUAGCGAACAGGAUUAGAUACCCUGGUAGUCCAUGCCGUAAACGAUGAGUGCUAAGUGU